UACAGAGGUCUCAAGCGUUGUUCGGAUUCAUUGGGCGUAAAGGGUGCGUAGGCGGCGCGGUAAGUCGGGUGUGAAAUUUCGGAGCUUAACUCCGAAACUGCAUUCGAUACUGCCGUGCUUGAGGACUGGAGAGGAGACUGGAAUUUACGGUGUAGCAGUGAAAUGCGUAGAGAUCGUAAGGAAGACCAGUGGCGAAGGCGGGUCUCGUGGACAGUUCCUGACGCUGAGGCACGAAGGCCAGGGGAGCAAACGGG
rnacentral:rRNA from 1 species